rnacentral:rRNA from 1 species
AGGAUAGAGGCCUACCAUGGUUUUAACGGGUAACGGGGAAUUAGGGUUCGAUUCCGGAGAGGGAGCCUGAGAAACGGCUACCACAUCCAAGGAAGGCAGCAGGCGCGCAAAUUACCCAAUCCCGACACGGGGAGGUAGUGACAAUAAAUAACAAUACGGGGCUCAUUUGGGUCUCGUAAUUGGAAUGAGUACAAUUUAAAUCUCUUAACGAGGAACAAUUGGAGGGCAAGUCUGGUGCCAGCAGCCGCGGUAAUUCCAGCUCCAAUAGCGUAUAUUAAAGUUGUUGCAGUUAAAAAGCUCGUAGUUGAACUUCGGGGUUUACCCAUUGGUCAGGCUUAAUUGUCUGUACUGGUGAGAUAAAUCUCUACCUUCUGAGGAACUUUCAUGUCAUUAAUUUGGUGUGAUUGGAAAUCAGGACUGUUACUUUGAAAAAAUUAGAGUGUUUAAAGCAGGCUAACGUCUGAAUACAUUAGCAUGGAAUAAUGAAAUAGGACGGAUUGAUUCUAUUUCGUUGGUUUCUAGGAUCACCGUAAUGAUUAAUAGGGAUAGUUGGGGGCACUAGUAUUCAAUUGUCAGAGGUGAAAUUCUUGGAUUUAUUGAAGACUAACUACUGCGAAAGCAUUUGCCAAGGAUGUUUUCAUUAAUCAAGAACGAAAGUUAGGGGAUCGGAGACGAUCAGAUACCGUCGUAGUCUUAACCAUAAACUAUGCCGACUAGGGAUCGGACGAAG